GAUGAACGCUGGCGGCGUGCUUAACACAUGCAAGUCGAACGGUGAAGCUCCAGCUUGCUGGAGUGGAUCAGUGGCGAACGGGUGAGUAACACGUGAGCAACCUGCCCCUGACUCUGGGAUAACAGCCGGAAACGGCUGCUAAUACCGGAUAUGCACCAUGAACGCAUGUUCUGUGGUGGGAAAGAUUUUUCGGUUGGGGAUGGGCUCGCGGCCUAUCAGCUUGUUGGUGAGGUAAUGGCUCACCAAGGCGUCGACGGGUAGCCGGCCUGAGAGGGUGACCGGCCACACUGGGACUGAGACACGGCCCAGACUCCUACGGGAGGCAGCAGUGGGGAAUAUUGCACAAUGGGCGAAAGCCUGAUGCAGCAACGCCGCGUGAGGGAUGACGGCCUUCGGGUUGCAAACCUCUUUUAGCAGGGAAGAAGCGAGAGUGACGGUACCUGCAGAAAAAGCGCCGGCUAACUACGUG
rnacentral:rRNA from 1 species